CUGGUGCAAGAUUCAGGUUUUGAGAAUGUGUCAAUCUGAAAAGCCUUUUGUAAAGGCUACCAAUCUGACCAGCUAGUUAUGGAUAUGGCCUCAAUGGUGAAGAGUCAUAUUUGGAGGUUAGUUUGAAAUUUUUCUUGAAUCAUACUCAGCAUAGUAUUUGUUGGGGCCAGAAACAUAUAUUGCUUCUGAAUAUCGGAUGUUUGGCUCUUUAUCGGCCACACUAUAGCAUAUGCAUGAAGGAGGAAUCUUGGAACCAUGAUCAACAACAACCUGGAUUCAAGAGCUAACUUCACAUUAGGCGUAGGUAUGUCAUUAGAAGGGUUGUGGUAUUGCAACCCCCCCAACCCACCCACACACACAAAACAACCAACGGGAAAAUAAGUAGUACAUAAUAAACUAUAUCUCUAGGUGGAUCAUCUAAUUAGUUUAUCAUGGUUCAUGCCUGUGAAAUCAUGGAACAGUUUCUCAGACCAGCAAUUAAGUGACUUCUUAUGAAUUGUUUUGUCUACAGUUAGCUGAUUCUUGUCUGAACUUUUUGAAGGAAUGUG
rnacentral:lncRNA from 1 species